UAGAACACAAACAACACAGAGGUAAAAGCUUGCGAGGGUACAGAGACAAGGUAGCUAUCUGCAAACCAAGGAGAGAGUUCUUGGGAGAAAUCACUGGCAACAAUAACUUUGGCAACUUAAGAUUAUUUCAUUUCCCUACAAUUUUGCAAUCAGCAUGGCAAUUUCUACAAAAACAACUAUUGAAGUUUAAAUGAGUUGUAUUAACAAGAGUUCUGUGUACAGUAUAAAAAGAAGACAAGCAUCCUAAAGAAUUAUAACUUUCACCAUAUUGCCAGCAAAACCCCUUUUAUGGAUACUUGGAAAAUAAAUAUUGAUUAGAUAAUAGUAACAAUAUAACCAUGGCUAACAUUUAUGAUGUCUUUACUACGUCCAGACAUUUUUCUAUUUUUUUUUGUUUGUUUUUUUACUUUAUGACUCAGGUGCAUUUAUUGUGCAUAUUUGAAAAAUGAGAACACAGUUGAGCUUAAGGAACUUGCUCAGUUCAUAGCUCUGAUAGUGGAGGGGUUGGGAACAAGCUUAGAUAAUCUGAUUUCAGGAUCCUAUGCAUAGAACAUUAGACUAUAGAGUCUUUCAUGAUCAACAUUGAAAAUGUAUCAUUUCUUUUAAAUUUUGGCUAAAAAGCACUGCAAACUGUGUUUUUAUUUUAUGUAUAUCUUUAUAUACUUUCCUUUUUAAUGUCAAACUAAAUUGAAAUCUCUUUUGGUUAA